GCUGUUUCCUGUGGGGUGAAGGGGCCCUGCAGCCAGAUUCAGCCACACAGGACGUCAAGCUGUUGUGCCACCGUAAAACAAUCCAGACUGGGACACAAGCAUUUUCUGCAUCAGGGAGAUUUGGCCUCCAGUAUAAAGGGGUCAUCAGAAAUAAGCUGUACAAUUCCACUUGACAUGGUUACUUGGGCAGAGGAUGAUCAGCACAACACAAAAUAUCUCCAAGAACAUCAAUAGUUAGACUAAAUCAACUUUUUCUCGGUGGCAGAAGUAAUGAAUUAAUUUCACACCAUUCAUGCAGUCUCUAUCGGCAAAAUUCCUGCUACAGACAUUUACCACAUACAAACAACAGCAGCCACAGACAUUUUCUUCCCUUGUGAGUCUCCAGGUACUGUUUCUUACCACAUAGAACCUCCACCCAUCACUUGGGGCAGGCUUUUUUUUUUAAUUCAGAUACACACCAUCAGGGAAUAUAACACCAAUUACUGAUAAAGAGCUUCCUUCUGGAUGAUCACAGCACCGGAUAAGCACCUGACAGCUCCACUGCAGUGUCUUUGUAGUUACACUGUUCUCAUACAGAGAUCACAGUUUCCUGAAUGACUGUAGAGUCUUCAACAAUAGUUGGAGAUACAAGAUUGAAUACAAGCAACAGCCAAAAUGGGAGGCCACGAAACACCAGCUUCCCCAGUUUCCAGGUUUGUCUCUUUUUGAAAGAAAAUUAUGUGGCUAGUAAUCCCAUCCAUCCUUUGAGACCUUCACUAUUUUCUCAUACUUACCUGCUUCCAGCUGAUUUGACAACUUGCCUAAUUUAUGAGACAGUUGCAUCAGUGUUUCUUCUCUUUCCAUUUUAGUGAUUCAGCAAACUCACCUCAAUGCUCCUGUCAAAUGUCCUUAAGGAUCCAAACUCAGAAUGUGAGGUUGCUUUUCAUUGGUGUUACUCAAAGCUGUGUCAUGGGAUAACAUUACUGACUGCCAUAUUCAGGCAUGAGAAGCAAAACCACAGAAAGGAAUGUAUACUUACCAAUAUAAUCACUGAACAACAGAAUUUGGACUA